UCUGGCAAAUAGGAGGAGAUGUGUCUCUGUGCCCGUGUGUGUUUGCACUCCUGUCACGGGCGAGAGCACAUGUAUGGGCAUGGCAGAGCUGAAGGAGAAGAAACAAGCUCCUUAAAAAUGCUUUCACCCCUCUGGGAACUUGUGACUGGUAUGUCUGCCGUGUCUCGUAACGCAGAUUUUAGCUGAAGAAAACCUUAAUAGACCAUAUAUAAAGGCAAGCUGGGAUUGAGGUAACGCAGCUGACUUGUAUGGCUUGCUUGCAUUUAAACGGGCAUCAUUUGACUUCAUCUGCUGCAAACAGCAAAUGUCUGUUUGAGAAGUAGCAGGAGUUGAAACCCUGAUCUCUGUUUAAGGUGAUCAUUGUUUUUUUAAUGCACACAACGUUGUACUGAGAGCAGAUGGGGAAAACAAAGGUUGACAAGACUUAGGGUAACUUCUGGCGCUUCUCUCGUAGCAGCUGGGACUCUAAAAAAGCAGGAAAGCUGCUACGAAGGGUAUGGAAGAGAGCAGACAGGAAAGAUGAAAGGGAAUGGACAUAAGCAUGAAAAUUCUUGCCACCUCUCCCCCCUUCCUCCAGUUGCACUAAAUGUACGUGAUUCCCAUAGCACAAGGGCCACACACUUCAAAACCAACUGUAAAUAUUUAGCUUGUUGUUUGUCCCAAGUUGCAGCGUUUUGCUUGACAGGCUUUCCUCCUCUUAUUUUAGAGACAACAAAAACAGUUGGUACUUAUUUUCAACUUUGUAAUUUAAAGAGGGAAGAAGUCCAGUCUACAGCAUUUUAAAUAUUGUGCAUAAUAUCCCUUUUAAGCAUUUUUUUUGCCCGCUGCCAACAGAAGAGUCUAAUGCUGAUGAGGAGAGCCAACCAUGGAGACUAGUUUAAAAUGGACCAGCCAAAGUCUGCAGCUGAAGGGACGGCCUCCUGCUAUUUCUGUCAGCAGACACAUCAUUGUUGCACUCUGUCAGGGAAGCUCCUAUAGUCUGAGCCACAUCAAAGCUGUAAAUCAGCUGGUAAAAGGUUCAGAGCUACAUCAGUGCUGCAAGCCUUGUCAACCCAGUCAUAUGCAAAACAAUUGCCCUCUGAAUGUGUGUUAGGAAGAGUGAAUUGGAGUGCUAUCUUUGAAGGGCUAAACGCCUCUUCUCAAUAAUAGCAUAUUUUACAUCUUAAAAAGACAACAAAACCUUCAUUUGAGAUGUUCAGUGUUUGUUUAGAGGGAGGCUUUGCCGCUUUGUUUUUUAGUCCCCUGUUUCUCCACUGCAAAGGAAUUACAGAGGUGCAAGAACUACAUAUACAGACUUGUGUGUUAAAUUGUCACCAGAAAGAAACUUGCUGUCAUGGAGUGCCGAAAUGCUCAGGUUUCCUCCAGUUAUUAUAUAAGUGGCACUAAAAAUACUGUUGCAGUCAGCACUUGGAAAACUAAAAGGAAAACUAAUACUAAUUUUUGGCUUUGAUGUGUGUGUUCCGUCGUUGUCCACCUCCUGUAGGUAGUGUAGGGGCUCUGGGCACAGAUCAGGCCUGUACUGUCAAGGGGAUAGCUUGUGGAGCUGAUACUUUAUUUGUAAAACAGGUUAGAGAUGCAAUGACAGAUGAGGCUGGGACUGCAGAUGAUAGAGUGGUUUUGUAGUUAAUCACAUAGGAACGAAUUCUGCUAUGUACUUACUUUCUGUUAAGACACUUACCUGAUUCACUCGAACCACUUUUUUAAAUUAUUUGUUUUUGCAGAUGGACACUUGUUUGUUUCCUGCUUUCCAGAUCUUUCUUCUUAAUUGGAUGCACUCUAGCAAGUUAAAAUAUCAAUUCUUAUGACAGUGGGAGUAGGAAAACUUUGCUGUCUGAAGGAAGGAGCUGAGAAACGAGAGAUGAGAACCUACUUCUACUGCUGACUCACUGUGGCCUAAGGCAAGGCUGUCUCUCAUCUUAACCAUCUGCAGGAUGAUGAUGAUGGUGCUUGUCUCGUGGUGGUAAUUGCAAGCAUGUCAGAGUUAAUGUGGUGUUGGAGAAAGUAACUGUUCGGUGCAUCUGCGGAGUAAGUAAGGCAGAGGCUGCUAUCUGGAAGGAGAUAAAAUAAUUUUGUCACAUUUCCAGAGUAAGACCUCCCUUUUCUGAAGUUAGUGCUGUACACAGGUAAGCUCCCUCCUGUAGUGGUGUGAAUGCUCUUUUAGAGGCAGAGUGGAACAAUUUUUCCGUGCAUCCUUUCUUUUCCAGUCUCUCCCUCAUGUGCUUGCAUUAAGUUUUAGCUGAUAUUUCUAAGGGUUUUGAAGGCCUGGCAAUGCAGCCUCCAUGUGUUAACUACUACUCAGCAUGGCGUGUGAUUUUAAUUUGAGUGUUCAUGGCAUUAUUUACAAGUCUAGUGGCUUCUGUUGAUACUUAGCAAAGUUUGUGGUGGUCUCUCAUUGAGCAGCACUUAACAAAGCUGAAGAACAGGAGAUGACAGCUAUGAUCCCUGUGAGAGGAAGGAACUGUAUGCCGCAUGCAGCGCGUAGUGAGAGCCGUGCUGUUUCUGCGUAUACCAAGUCUGCCAGACAUCUAGGUAGUAGGAAACUUUUCUUCCUUGAUAUCGAGAGAGUUGCUCUAAGAACAACUUCUGACUGCUGCUUUGAUGAUCUUCAUCAUACUGCUCUGACCAGAAGUUGAAUGUUUUCAGAGCUGUCCUCAGGAAACAUGACUGAUGGCAGAUGGUAGGCCACACCAGGUUUGUGGUGCGUUUCUAAUCUCAAACCAACUUCCACAUCCUAAAAAUGACAACUGACUUGUUCCAAGAUCUCAUCAUCAUCAACUUCAGGAAGUUGUAGUUGCUGGGAAGAGGCCUUGUUUUCUGAGAAAGGUGGGCAGCUCUCUAACGUAACGUAGUGGAUGAAAAGUGUGAAAUGGUGUGUUUGCUUCCCCGCUGCUAUGGGUUUCUCAGAAUACGUUCAGAGUGUGACCGAAGUCAGGGGAUGUAAAAAUAGUAAGUACCAACUAGAUUUGUUGUUGUCUGACAAUGUGAUGGUUCUGACAUCCACGAUGAUCCAAGUUUGUCAUGUUCUUCACAGGAGGCCUUCUGGGGAAGGGGUGGCUGCAGGGGAGAAGUAAGCUGCUUGGGACAGGCUUGCACUGUGUGUGUACAAGGGCCUUGUGUGUUUUUUUUCUGUUUGUGGUGUAAGUUUUCUGCCCAUAUUUAGAUAUCACCUAGCCUAGUGGGUUCCAGUGCUAUGACUAGGAUUCCAAGGUGUUACAAAGAGAAAUAAACGCACAGAAACACUCGAAGCAGAUGGCUUAGAUGAGAACUGUUGGGAACAGAGGAGGCAUCAGCAAUGUGAAAAUGAAGCUUGUGAGACCCUGCUUUUCCACAGUGUCCUUCACUCAGAAAAUAAAGGGAAAAAAUGCUUUGCUGAUAACUGGAAGGCGCCCGGUUCUUUCUUGCAUCAAGCCAAUGUGAUAUGAAAGCAGAGGGGCUACUGCUAUCUUCUGCUUGCUGGAACAAGAAACAGAAAUGGUGCUGGAUGCUGCUUAGAUAAGAAGGUUGAUAAGGAGAUUAAGUCUUCUAAAUGCUAACAACAUACCUGUGUGCGUUAUCUUGUCCAAAAAGAUUUACAUUCCCAAAAAUGAAAGGGGAAAUGCUAGAAGUUGUGGUAUCAGCUUUUUAUUUAAGUGGAGUAUUAAGUUCAAAUCUGAUGGGGGGGGGGAGGGUGAAUUGAAAUGCAAAAUCAUAAUCAGCCAUACAGGUAGGGCAGAUACCACAGCUUGUUUCCAAAUUUCAGAGUGACCUCCUGGAUUGCUUCCUUUCAGUUAUUUUAAGGGAUAUCUGGGUACUGUUGCCAUCACAGUUUGCAAUGGUGUAGGUUCCUGAAAGUAAGCAUUCAGAGGUAUGGUAAUCCAGAUGUGCUUUGCGAAUAAAGUUGUUAGAGCCAAAUUGAUGUGUUUGGGAUGUUAGGCAUUGUGUACCUGGGAAAAUGCAUGUCUCCAUACAGUAAAUCUAUUUAGCGUGUGUUAAAAAUCAUUGUAACAACCUAAACUGUUGCUUUGCUUGGUAAUGACUUUUAGGUUGAGAUGUUUUCUUGGCAGCCCAGCCUUUGAGGAUCUGCAGAGUGCCUGGACUUCAAUACUGCAUUUGCAUUGACGUGACUUCACAUCUUUUCAGCUCCCUGCUGAUAAGCAAGGUUCUUUGUCUUGACACUGCAACAACAAGUGAUCAACUAUAAGCUACAAAGAAUUUACAAUGAUCUAGUCCAGCUUCUUGUGUAAGCUGUAGUACGCAUUUAAAUGAUGUUUUUCUUUUAAAGACUUUUUUCUUUUAGAAAAGUUCCUAAUAUCCACUCAAAAUGACAGUGCUUGUAUAUGUGGAGAAAUGCACCUCUAUCCUCUGUGAGAUUAAUAAAGUUACUUUCAGUAAUUUUGUUAUUAAAAAGCAAGUAUUUUGUUUUGUAGUCUAAAUAUGCAUAGUUUCAACUUCUGUUAUUUUAUAUUGGUACAUAUUUGCUGAAGUUGAAGCGAGUUCUUGAAUUUUUCAUCCACGAUGGAGAAAACUUGAAGACUAAAUAGCCCCUUUUACCUUUUAAUGGACCUAAAUAAGGCAAACAUACCGAAUUUAAGUUAAAGGUACAUCUUCAGUCUUCUUGCUUCUGCACCUUUUCAUGAAUCAGAUCUCGUUUCAGUCUAUGAGCUGUGGAUUCCAGAACUGGCUGUGGUAUUUCAGUAGCAGUUGCACCAGUAAUACAACACUUUUAAUCCUAUUUGUAUUGUCUAUUUAUAUUCUCAAGGAUAAAGUCAGCCCCUUUGACCUAGCAGCACAGAGCUGUUCUGAUUCAGGUGGGAAAACAAGCCAGACUCGGGUGGCCAAAAUUGUUAUACAGGGAUGUGAGAGCCCUGCAUGUCUGACCUGUUGUCAUGACCUCUGUGUGUCCCUGAGGUUUGCUACUGCAAGUAUGUUCUGCGCUAGUUUUUCCACAGCUGGAUGGAAGUCCAGGUCUUUUUGAAUUGAAAAGCUUCAAAGCAACUCGUUUAUGGGCUGAUGGCUGGCCAUCCUUCAUUAGGCAAAAAGAUCUGAACUUCUUCUAGAUCUUUUAAUGGUUUUCUGGAAGCCAGGGUCUGUUACUUUUUUGCAGAAUUAUAUAUUUUUUUAGCUGUACUGGUAAACUUACCCCUAAAAAAUCACCUCUUUUGUUUGUUUCCUCCCCCUUCAUCCAUUACCUCAACCCUCCGUAGGCACCACAUCUCUCCCUUUAGCUGGACUCCCCUCAGAAUUAUCUUUUUUUUGACUAUUCCUGUAAAUUUAUCCCUCUAGAAAUGCUGAUAUUUUGAAUCCAUUUUGAUUAAAAAACUGUUGAUUUGG